GAAAUUCAAGGGCUUGAUAGUUUGGAGUAUUUGGAAAGUCUAGAUAUCUCUUGGUGCAUUUCAAUUGGAAGGCUAGACCUUCCAAAAUUCGGAAGUAUGAAGAGAUUAGUUGUUGGUUGGUGCAAGAAAUUAGCUGAAAUUCAAGGCAUUGAUAGGUUGGAGUCAUUGGAAAGACUAAAUAUCUCUUGGUGCGCUUCAAUUGAAAGGCUACUCCUUCCAAAAUCCAAGAGUCUUAAGAUAUUAGAAGUUAGAGACUGCGAAAACUUGGUCGAAAUUCAAGGCCUUGAUAGGUUGGAGUAUUUGGAAAGUCUAGAUAUCAAUGGGUGCAAUUCAAUUGAAAGGCUAGACCUUCCAAAAUUCGGGAGGUUGAAGAAAUUAGAUGCUAGAGGCUGCGAAAACUUAGCCGAAAUUCAAGGGCUCGAUAGUUUGGAGUAUUUGGAAAGUCUAGAUAUCUCUAGGUGCACUUCAAUUGGAAGGCUAGACCUUCCAAAAUUCGGGAGGCUGAAGAAAUUAGAUGCUAGAGGUUGCAAAAACUUAGCCGAAAUUCAAGGGCUCGAUAGUUUGGAGUAUUUGGAAAGUCUAGAUAUCUCUAGGUGCACUUCAAUUGGAAGGCUAGACCUUCCAAAAUCCGGAAGUAUGAAGAGAUUAGUUGUUGGUUGGUGCAAGAAAUUAGCUGAAAUUCAAGGCCUCGAUAGGUUGGAGUCCUUGAAAAAACUAGAUAUCUCUUGGUGCGCUUCAAUUGAAAGGCUACUCCUUCCAAAAUCCGAGAGUCUGAAGAUAUUAGAAGCUAGAGACUGUGAAAACUUGGUUGAAAUUCAAGGCCUUGAUAGGUUGGAGUUUUUGAAAGAACUGAAUAUCACUGGAUGCAAGUCACUCAAAACAAUUCCAGAAUUAUCUAGAACUUGGAUUUAUCGAUAUAGUGUACUUACAAAUAGCGAAAUGAUAGGAUGUGGAUUAGACGAUAUGGAUGACUUGGAUGAGUUUGGUGACUUGGAUGAGUUGGAUUACUUGAUGAGUCGGAUGACUCAGAUGAGUCAAUAUAAUGGAAGCAAUCCCCAUUUACUAUCAAAGGUACAUAGAGCAGCUGACAGUGUCAUCAUUGUCUCCUUACUUGAAUUCAAGGAAUUGAGGGGAAAUAUCCAUGGAAAUUGUUGUGUGCUUUGGCAACAAGAUUUUGCUUAUCAUGCCAGUAAGGGAAAUAGAUGGAAAAGGCUUUCUAAGUGCAUCAUUUGUCAUUAGUUUUCAGGAUUCAAGUGGACUUUCCUCAUCCUCUCACUCUUCAACUGGCUCAAGCGUUCCUCUAGCUUUAGCUAUGGAGACCAGCAAAGGACCACAAUGUGUUGUGCUCCUGUUUCAGCUUCAGUUUGAUAAAUCAUUGGCUUCUCAGGUGAAGAUGACGGAGUGGAAUCCAAAGAAGUAUUGGCCGGCGAUGGUCAAGAAGGACUCGAAGGCGAUGUCAAUUCGCAGAGGCUGUGGACAAUGUCUCCUUGUAAUUGCUUCAAAGCGAGAAGGUCAAGUCAGCAAGACGUCUUACACGCAUUAUUGUGCUAGAGAAUUACUGCAACUUGGAGGUUUUGGGGACAGUGAAUAUUUGCGAAGGACACUUGCGGAGGAAUUUCAACAGAUGGAACAGAGAGUACAAAUACAGGAUGGCUCUGAAUUUGCUUCAUCCAAUCAAACUCAUGAAAUUGGGUUUACAGAUUAUAUCUCCUUCCAAAUAGUCUUUGUUAGAUGUUACAAACGAUAUAGCAGUGGCGAGGUGAUUUAUGAAUGAUUCAAGCAAUGUGAAGUAGGGAAGGCCUUUGGAAUCAAUCUUGUUGUGCAUCCCUCCUGGUUACUACGGUGUGGAUUUGGCUCUAUAAAAGGAACUUCAAAUUGUUAUGCUGCUAAAUAAGAUGAAUGAUGCUUGUGAAAACUUGAGAGAUGCCUGGAUGAUGAUCUUGCAGACCAGUGACGUUCCAUUUAUGCAUAUUUCAAGAACCUCUUGUGCAAUUAACUGGGAGUUGGACCAAUUGAAGGAUGACUUUGAAUUUGCUUCAGAUUAUAUUUCCUUCCAAAUACAUGAGGAGUCUUUUUUAGAUGUAACAAAUCGUAUAGUGGUAGUGAGUGGACUUAUGAAUGAUUCAAGCAAUGUGAAGAAGGGAAGAUCUUUGGAAGGAUCUUGUUGUGCAUCCCUCUUGGUCAUUGUUGUGUGGAUUAGACUCUAUCUAAGGUGAAAACUUGGGAGAUGUUGAGAUGACAAUCCUGUAGGCUAGUGACCUUCCAUUUGUGCAUAUUGCAGGAACCACGCGUGCAAAUAACUGGGAUUUAUACCCGUUGAAGGACCAUACCUUAUGCCUGGAGAUGGAGAAUGAGAAGCUUCGCAGCAUUCCCCAUCCUGUUGUUCUCCCUUGUCAGUUGGUGGUAGAGGCGUGGCUUGUGUUUUAGCUGCAAGAAAGUGGGCCCCGAUGUACAUACUGGACGAGUAUGAAGAAGAAAUCUCUGAUUCAGAAUGACUGUCUGUUCAAGAGUUUGUGGUGGUUAUGCUUAUGUUGCUGGUGUUGGUGGACCUCUCAUACUUGGAGCUGCAGACAUUGGUGUGAGAAGCAAUGCAUGUGGGCUUUCUGACUGAUGCUCUUCGACUUCACCCUUUCUAGAGAAGUCUUAAUCCAUACCUGCCAUGUGCCUUCUCUGCUAGGCGGGUAUUUGUCGAUAAAAAAAAGUGGAGUAAAAUGUAGCGAUUUAUCUAUCGAGUGGGAUAGAAUUGACCGAAAGAUGCUGAAUCAUGGCUUCUAUCUGAUGGUAACUGUCGUCAUGGUAUUGCUGUAAGCUUUGAGACCUGCUUGAUAGUGCCAAGCUUUUGCUUCAUCUGUAUAUGUUCACUAUUUUCAUGUGUAAGAGAACCAAUUGUUUGGUU